rnacentral:rRNA from 1 species
GAUGAACGCUGGCGGCGUGCCUAAUACAUGCAAGUCGAGCGAAUGGAUUGAGAGCUUGUUCUUAUGAAGUUAGCGGCGUACGGGUGAGUAACACGUGGGGAACCCGCCCAUAAGACUGGGAUAACUCCGGGAAACCGGGGCUAAUACCGGAUAACAUCUUGAACCGCACGGUUCGAAAUUGAAAGGCGGCUUCGGCUGUCACUUAUGGAUGGACCCGCGUCGCAUUAGAUAGUUGGUGAGGUAACGGCUCACCAAGGCAACGAUGCGUAGCCGACCUGAGAGGGUGAUCGGCCACACUGGGACUGAGACACGGCCCAGACUCCUACGGGAGGCAGCAGUAGGGAAUCUUCCGCAAUGGACGAAAGUCUGACGGAGCAACGCCGCGUGAGUGAUGAAGGCUUUCGGGUCGUAAAACUCUGUUGUUAGGGAAGAACAAGUGCUAGUUGAAUAAGCUGGCACCUUGACGGUACCUAACCAGAAAGCCACGGCUAACUACGUGCCAGCCGCCGCAGUAA